GCGCGGAUGAGCUCAAAUUUGAAAUCUGGCUGGUUUACUAGUCCGAGUUGUAAUUUAAAGAAGCGUUUUCGGUGGCAGCCUGGGUAUAAAUCCUUUGGAAUAGGGUAUCAUAGAGGGUGAGAAUCCCGUCUUUGACCUAGUGCAUGCUACUAUGUGAUACGUUUUCAAAGAGUCGAGUUGUUUGGGAAUGCAGCUCAAAAUGGGUGGUAAAUUUCAUCUAAAGCUAAAUAUUGGCGAGAGACCGAUAGCGAACAAGUACCGUGAGGGAAAGAUGAAAAGAACUUUGAAAAGAGAGUUAAACAGUGCGUGAAAUUGUUGAAAGGGAAACGUUUGACACCAGUCAUGUGGGUGGAAAAUCAGUCUUUUGCAUUGGGGAGUUGUAAAGGUUCGGACCGCAAGGCCGGCUUUUGCUUCAUCUUUGGUGUAAGGGAUGCACUUUUUCAUCUACAGGUCAACAUCAGUUUCUUUUGCUGGACAAAACUCCGAGAGAAGGUAGCAGCUUAGGCUGUGUUAUAGCUCUGGAGCGAUACAGUGAAGGGGACUGAGGUUUUCGCAGCGUGUGCUCUCGGGCAAGGCUGGAUGGGUGCUAUGGGAUCGUUCGGGGUACAAUGCCUGGCAUUUUGCUUCGUGUCUUUUCUAUACUCGCUCAACUCAGCUCUCCACG
rnacentral:rRNA from 1 species